rnacentral:rRNA from 1 species
AGAGUUUGAUCCUGGCUCAGGAUGAACGCUGGCGGCGUGCCUAACACAUGCAAGUCGAGCGAUCUUCUUCGGAAGAGAGCGGCGGACGGGUGAGUAACGCGUGGGUAACCUGCCUCAUACACAUGGAUAACAUACCGAAAGGUAUGCUAAUACAAGAUGAUAUAAGAGAUUCGCAUGGAUUUCUUAUCAAAGCUCCGGCGGUAUGAGAUGGACCCGCGUCUGAUUAGCUAGUUGGUAAGGUAACGGCUUACCAAGGCGACGAUCAGUAGCCGACCUGAGAGGGUGAUCGGCCACAUUGGAACUGAGACACGGUCCAAACUCCUACGGGAGGUAGCAGUGGGGAAUAUUGCACAAUGGGCGAAAGCCUGAUGCAGCAACGCCGCGUGAGCGAUGAAGGCCUUCGGGUCGUAAAGCUCUGUCCUCAAGGAAGAUAAUGACGGUACUUGAGGAGGAAGCCCCGGCUAACUACGUGCCAGCAGCCGCGGUAAUACGUAGGGGGCUAGCGUUAUCCGGAUUUACUGGGCGUAAAGGGUGCGUAGGUGGUUUCUUAAGUCAGGAGUGAAAGGCUACGGCUCAACCGUAGUAAGCUCUUGAAACUGGGAAACUUGAGUGCAGGAGAGGAAAGUGGAAUUCCUAGUGUAGCGGUGAAAUGCGUAGAUAUUAGGAGGAACACCAGUAGCGAAGGCGGCUUUCUGGACUGUAACUGACACUGAGGCACGAAAGCGUGGGGAGCAAACAGGAUUAGAUACCCUGGUAGUCCACGCCGUAAACGAUGAGUACUAGGUGUCGGGGGUUACCCCCCUCGGUGCCGCAGCUAACGCAUUAAGUACUCCGCCUGGGGA